ACUACCUCGACUACCCCAGUGGCUCUCGUCGUUGUGCUAUGGCGGCGAGUUCGCCGUGUUGCAUCCGUCUUAGCUGUGGUCUUCUUCUACACCUCGUUGUUUUAGCAAGUCGAGUUGCUCGGCCCCAGGUUACCUCGACACUGCCAAAUGUUUUAAUAUGCUAUAGAAUGGCUGUCUGAAGCGUCUGCAAAAGUAGUACCACACGCUGUGCAAGGAGCUGCCGCCGCAGAUUGUGGCUCGUCCUCUGUCCAACAAAAUAGUUAGUGGUGUAGGUAGCUUCCACUGAUUGCACUUGUAAAUGUAGUAUUUAGCAUUGUUUAAUCGAAUGGAAAUAUUUUAUGUUUGGGUCUGAUUAUUGUGA